rnacentral:miRNA from 1 species
GGGCUAAAAUUUGACUGGCUGAUCGGAAACAAAAUUCGCGCCGCACUGAGGGCAAUUUCGUCAUUUUUCGCGACGCGCGAUUUUUGUUUCCGAUCAACAGUCAAAUUUUAGCCC